rnacentral:tRNA from 1 species
GCGAAAGUGGCGGAAUUGGUAGACGCACUGGAUUUAGGUUCCAGCGCCGCAAGGCGUAAGAGUUCGAGUCUCUUCUUUCGCA